CACCUGUUGGCCCACUUGGCAGCGCACCCACAAUAACUCAUCCUGAAAGGAAUAACAUAUGUGGGAGGCCCCAGUUCGACUCUGGGAUGGGUCA